rnacentral:rRNA from 1 species
AUUGAGCGCUGGCGGCAGGCCUAACACAUGCGAGUCGAACGGUAGCAGGAAGAUGCUUGCUUCUUUGCUGACGAGUGGCGGACGGGUGAGUAAUGUAUGGGAAACUGCCUGAUGGAGGGGGAUAACUACUGGACACGGUAGCUAAUACCGCAUAACGUCGCAAGGCGAAAGAGGGGGAGCUUCGGGCCUCUUGCCAUCGGCUAGGUCGGAUUAGCUAGUGGGUGGGGUAACGGCACACCUAGGCGACGAUCCCUAGCUGGUCUGAGAGGAUGAGCAGUCACACUGGAACUGAGACACGGUCCAGACUCCUACGGGAGGCAGCAGUGGGGAAUAUUGCACAAUGGGCGCAAGCCUGAUGCAGCCAUGCCGCGUGUAUGAAGAAGGCCUUCGGGUUGUAAAGUACUUUCAGCGGGGAGGAAGGGAGUUAAGUUAAUACCUUUGCUCAUUGACGUUACCCGCAGAAGAAGCACCGGCUAACUCCGUG